UACGGGGGGGGCAAGCGUUGUUCGGAAUUACUGGGCGUAAAGGGCUCGUAGGCGGCCAACUAAGUCGGACGUGAAACCCCUCGGCUUAACCGGGGAACUGCGUCCGAUACUGGAUGGCUUGAGUUUGGGAGAGGGAUGCGGAAUUCCAGGUGUAGCGGUGAAAUGCGUAGAUAUCUGGAGGAACACCGGUGGCGAAGGCGGCAUCCUGGACCAACACUGACGCUGAUGAGCGAAAGCCAGGGGAGCAAACGGG
rnacentral:rRNA from 1 species